GGGAUAAAUCCGAAGCACGGUAAUAUUAUGUCUAAAUAUUACCGUGUCCGAAGUGUAACAAAGGAUCUUCGAGUAACUCUCGAGCGUAGCCGAUAUAGAAUCCUGAGUGAAGCGCGGGGUUGAGGGGCGGCCAAGACAAAGACAGCAUUACCCCGCAUUCAAUACUCUACUUUUCACACCUCGCGAGACAAUAAAAUCAAAAUUUUCGAGAUGCUUUAAUAGGUACCUA